ACCCAUUAUUCAUCAUUCAAUGAAAGCAUACAAAUUGGGUUUGUCAUCAUGCUUGCAACUACGAAUCUAUGAUGUCAUGAUGCCAGAUCGAUGUCAUGACGUCAUAGACCACAUUCUGAAGUCAAUGCACGGUAAGUUGAGACACAAAAUCAUGCAAUGCCACAUCAGAGCAUUCAAAUGGGCUAGCACAACUUCAACAUCAACCACGUCCAACGUUUGAAUUCACACAACACCUGUUGGAAGAUUGGACCUGUUCCUUUCACUGCUGUCCAUGUCCCACAGUAAUGCACGUGUCGGGAGUCAGAACGAGACAGACAGGCAGACAGGCGUUUCCCAGCCAUUCAAAUCAUGAAUCAGCAUCAUUUCAUAGAUAUAUACAAAUAACUAACAAUAGAAAACAGGUAAGAAGAAAUUAAGUGCAGCUAGUUUGCAGUCUUUCCAGCUUUGGUUGGAAGUGAUUGUGUUAGAUUUGUUGUUGGAUAGCUCCCCUUACCAAUAGUGUCCUGACAAAAGAGUACAUUUUGUACACCAGGCAAAAUCGUGCAUCCUUAGCUCAUUGUUAUGGAUGUAUCCAAAUAAACGUCACUAGCAAACAGCAUAAAGAAACGCAAAUGCAGCUACUGUUAUUUUGGCUGCACUGUUUGACCUGAUUGUAAGUUAGCCAUAGUUGGCUAGCUAGUGUGGGGGAAUUCUAACCAAAAGGAAAGAGACUAUUGUUCAAAACAACUUUAUUAUAAGAUUUGUAAAAAUGGAGCAAUCAACCAUUACCAAGAAUGGUUUAGAAUUGAAACAUUAACAAACAUUGUCGGGUCUCUGCUUUUGUAGAAAAAGUACAACCUCUUUUGUCUACGUGGCAGUUUAGCAGAUGUGUGGAAACAGGGGCAGAGCAUAGUAUAAAAGGCUAUUUGUAUCAAGGCACAAGGUGAGACCCAGAUGCAUACACAGGAGGCAGAUGGUUGGAGUCAUACGAUGUUUAAUUAU